ACAAUGGAGAGUUUGAUCCUGGCUCAGGAUGAACGCUAGCUACAGGCUUAACACAUGCAAGUCGAGGGGAAACGAUAUUGGAAGCUUGCUUCCGAUAGGCGUCGACCGGCGCACGGGUGAGUAACGCGUAUCCAACCUGCCCACCACUUGGGAAUAACCUUGCGAAAGUAAGACUAAUACCCAAUGAUAUCUCAAGAAGACAUCUGAAUGAGAUUAAAGAUUUAUCGGUGAUGGAUGGGGAUGCGUCUGAUUAGCUUGUUGGCGGGGUAACGGCCCACCAAGGCGACGAUCAGUAGGGGUUCUGAGAGGAAGGUCCCCCACAUUGGAACUGAGACA
rnacentral:rRNA from 1 species